CAGUAGCCGCGGUAAUACGGAGGGUGCAAGCGUUAAUCGGAAUUACUGGGCGUAAAGCGCACGCAGGCGGUUUGUUAAGUCAGAUGUGAAAUCCCCGAGCUUAACUUGGGAACUGCAUUUGAAACUGGCAGGCUAGAGUCUUGUAGAGGGGGGUAGAAUUCCAGGUGUAGCGGUGAAAUGCGUAGAGAUCUGGAGGAAUACCGGUGGCGAAGGCGGCCCCCUGGACAAAGACUGACGCUCAGGUGCGAAAGCGUGGGGAGCAAACAGGAUUAGAUACCCCGGUAGUCCCUGUCUCUUAUAA
rnacentral:rRNA from 1 species